rnacentral:lncRNA from 1 species
AAACACUACCCAGAUAUAUUAUGGUCCAACAUUACAUCCCAAUAGCCUCUCCACUUACUGUUAAAUUAAUUGGCCUCGGGCCCCUAACAGCCUGCUUUUACAUCUAUUUAUACAUGAAAUAAAUCCCACAUAGUUAUUCAUCUAAAUCUCGUCAUUUUAUACUUCUUAGUUCCAUUUUGCAACCAUGUCAACUCCCAAUAUUGGCAUUGCUGAAUUGUACGUAAUGAAAAAGAUGAUCAAGGAGAAGAAAAUGCCGAAAAGCUUGGGGAAGAAAGAGAGUUCUGACUCGGGCUCGGGUUCCCGUGGCCACAGCUUCUGCCGGGGGUUUCGCAGAAUUCACCCUGCAGCUGGUGUUCUCCCAUUGCACCGUCCCUGAAAAUUAAGAUAGCCCAGAAUAUAUAUAUAUAUAUAUAUGCAUGGUUUAUACUGUGACUUCGUGACUCCUAUUACACCAGUUUCUUUUGAUUUUUAUAUUUUGCGAAAUUUUCUAUAUAAUUUAUUUUCCUCGUGUGAAAAUGUUUGAACUUCGUCCAGUUUCGUCUAGUACUACUUUUAUCGACUUCAAAAAACGAGUUUCACUGUAUAUGAGCCAAUGGAACUUCACAUAAGGCGACUUCUAAACUUUCAAGAUGUAAUAGUCACAGAAUAAUUUGUCGGCAAAGUUGCUUGAACCUUGACAUCAGGCCGCACUACAAUACCAUUUAUUUUUGCCUAAUUAUGGGUACAAUGAAUCGUACGUUAAAUUAAAUCUUAAAUAGCAAAAAUAUGAAAAUAGAAACCUUAUUUGAUCCAGUCGAAUUGGAUCCAACCAAGUCCUAGUCAUUGCGUUGCAGUCUCGUUUCUCGACUUCGCUUGUGUGAUUUGGACUUAUGAUUGGUUUCAUUCAUCCCCCAACACUAAUGAGUGCACUACGAAG